CAUCACUGCCUGACCAGGACCCUGCGGCCGCGGUGCACCUCCGGCUCCGUUGAGGGGAGUGGGUGUGUGCUAGGCCGCCUGCCCGAAGAAAGAGAGCGGAGGGCGCCCCCGGGGUCUCCGGGAGAGAAGGGCCCCGGGACGCGAGAGGGAGGGCCCCCUGACGCACGCCCUCCUCUGCCGAGCCCGCUUGGCUCGCCGAGAGCCGCCCUUUGAGCUCCGAGAGCUAACUCCAACGCACCGCGUCAGCCCCCGCCGGUGCGGCUUCUGGGGUUACGACCCACGCCCGACAUCCGCUAAGGUGCGCCCCCCACCGCCGCCGCCCGGACGGGAGCGAGGCCGGUCCCGCUCUCGGAGCCCCGAGCGGCCGCAGCGCGGUUCGGGCUCUGGCCGUCGAGGCCGGCGGUGGCGGCGGCUUGGGCCUGUCCCCGCGGCCGAGGUAGUCGCCAGGCGCACUUGACCGUGGGCGCGGAGCGAACGGAUCGCGCAACGCGGGCGGCGGGCUUUAUGUAAAUCGGGGCUGCGCCCGGGCGUCCUAGGUAGGAUGGACCAGCCCCCCGCGCCUCGGCCCUCACGUCCAAUAAGAAGAGCCCCAGCUUGACACCUGCCUAUAUACAGGCGAGCGCGCCCCCGGCCCGCCGACCGCGCGCACAGCCCGCACAGCCCACGCCGCGGGCGAGCGAGACCUCGGCCCGCCACCAUGACUUCCAGUAAGAUCGAGAUGCCCGGCGAGGUGAAGGCCGACCCCGCCGCCCUCAUGGCGUCCCUGCACCUCUUGCCGUCGCCCACGCCCAACCUCGAAAUCAAGUACACCAAGAUUUUUAUUAACAACGAGUGGCAGAACUCAGAGAGCGGGAGAGUGUUCCCUGUCUAUAAUCCAGCCACAGGAGAGCCGGUGUGUGAAGUUCAAGAAGCAGACAAGGCAGAUAUAGACAAAGCAGUGCAGGCAGCCCGCCUGGCUUUCUCUCUUGGUUCAGUGUGGAGAAGGAUGGAUGCUUCAGAAAGAGGCCGUCUGUUGGAUAAGCUUGCAGACUUGGUGGAGCGAGACAGGGCAGUUCUUGCAACCAUGGAAUCCCUAAAUGGUGGCAAACCGUUCUUGCAAGCUUUUUACGUGGAUUUGCAGGGGGUCAUCAAAACUCUUCGGUACUACGCAGGCUGGGCUGAUAAAAUUCACGGGAUGACCAUUCCUGUAGAUGGAGAUUAUUUUACUUUUACAAGACACGAACCCAUAGGAGUAUGUGGACAGAUCAUCCCGUGGAACUUCCCCCUGCUGAUGUUUGCUUGGAAAAUUGCUCCAGCUCUUUGCUGUGGCAAUACAGUAGUUAUUAAACCAGCAGAACAAACACCACUCAGUGCGCUCUACAUGGGAGCCCUCAUCAAGGAGGCUGGCUUUCCGCCGGGAGUCAUCAAUAUUUUGCCAGGAUAUGGGCCAACGGCUGGGGCGGCAAUAGCUUCUCACAUUGGCAUAGACAAGAUUGCAUUCACAGGGUCAACUGAGGUUGGAAAGCUUAUCCAAGAAGCAGCUGGAAGAAGUAACUUGAAGAGAGUAACUCUGGAACUUGGAGGGAAAAGCCCCAAUAUUAUUUUUGCCGAUGCUGAUUUGGACUAUGCUGUGGAGCAGGCUCACCAGGGGGUGUUCUUCAACCAAGGCCAGUGCUGCACCGCGGGGUCUCGCAUCUUUGUGGAGGAGUCCAUCUAUGAGGAGUUUGUGAGAAGAAGUGUGGAGCGGGCCAAGAGGCGCAUAGUGGGGAGUCCCUUUGAUCCCACCACUGAGCAGGGACCCCAGAUUGACAAGAAACAGUACAACAAGAUCCUGGAACUCAUCCAGAGUGGUGUGGCAGAGGGUGCCAAGCUGGAAUGUGGAGGCAAAGGACUGGGCCGAAAGGGAUUCUUCAUAGAGCCCACGGUGUUUUCCAAUGUCACCGAUGAUAUGCGGAUUGCCAAAGAGGAGAUCUUUGGCCCCGUUCAGGAGAUUCUGAGGUUUAAGACAAUGGAUGAAGUGAUCGAAAGAGCCAAUAACUCAGACUUUGGACUUGUGGCAGCUGUCUUCACUAAUGACAUCAACAAGGCCCUCACAGUGUCUUCUGCAAUGCAGGCGGGGACUGUUUGGAUCAAUUGUUACAAUGCCUUAAAUGCCCAGAGCCCCUUUGGGGGAUUCAAGAUGUCUGGAAAUGGGAGAGAAAUACCUACUGAGACAGAAGCUUUGGUGGGAUGGUCAGGAAUCUACAACGAAGCAAGCUCCAAAGGUGGCAGUGCUGCACCCUUCUGUGCAAUGUUGUGGAGACGAUCAGUCUUUGCCGUCAAGAAACGGUCACUGCUCAGGAUAUGACAGCUCUCUGUGCUCCUCAGAGGAGAGCUGGGUUGUCCACUCAUCAGACAUUUCUACAUGGAAACCCAGGGCCUGCUGUUAGCAGGGGGGAGUUUGGCUUGCGAGAGUACUCGGAGGUGAAGACGGUGACAGUAAAGAUCCCUCAGAAGAACUCCUAAGAAGGCCAAGGGGGAAGGUGGAGGCCAUCCCGCAGGACUCUCCCUCUCUGCUCUCCCUGGGGGGCCCGGCUCUCAGGAAUCCAAAGUCCGUACUUGGUCCUUAUUUAAAGUGAAAUAAUGACACGUAGGCCAGGCCAGUCAGUGGGUAAUGAAAGCAGACCAUGUGGGCACCAUUUCCUGGCACUCUGUAAGGGUUCACCUGAGUAAUACCAAAUACUGGGGAAAGGAGACGGAGAGCAGAGGAGUAGCAGUCAGGGACUUCGAUCUCUCCAGAGGGAUGGGCUGGCGCCUUUUGUCACAAAGAACUUUCCUCCUGAGGGAAGGUUGUCCUUCCAUUGUCUUCAUUUUCCCCUUUCCAGCCUCUCUCUGCUCACCCGUCCCUCCCACCCCUCCAAGGAGAUCUCAGCUGAGCUCAUUUGGGGCAGAUGUUUGGGCCGGGAACAAUUUUCCAAGGUUUUGCAGCCAAAUUACCAUUUCAUGUUAUCCACUUCUUCAAAGCAAAACAUGAAAUGGUUUUAGUUAGAGCCAGACCAGACUGAAAAUGCCAGGAGCUGGUACACUGCAGAUGUACCAAGAAGCAAGAACUGGGGACGUUCCUGACCCAGUCUGGCUUUCUUACAUCCAUAAAUAACAUGAGCAAAAGAGCAGGAAGAUGGAGAUCUGGAGAUCAUCCUAUGUAGUUCACAACUUCUGAUCUGGCUGCUUGGCUUUAGGGCGUGUGGGUGCGCGUGUGUUUACUUCCUUCUGGGUGAUUCUGGAAUAAGGUGGGGGCAGGGGGGGGGUUGUUUUUCAUAGAUUGAUAAGAUCUUUUUCCAAAGCUUAUCUUAACAACCCAGAAACGAAUGGCUGGGCUCAAGAAUUUGGUAAAAGGUAAUGCUGGGGGCCUUGCAGAAAUAAUUUCAUUUUCAGUACUGGCUGACAAUUCUUACUAAGUGAAUUAUCUCUGCAGUUGGACUCUUCAGCCUCUGUCCCCCGCCCCCCAUUGCCCCGGCACUGCUAUUCCCAGUGCUCUGGCUGUCACUUUGGCCUAUCUUGCCCUAAAUCCACUGGCAGUAACCCUGGAGAACCUGAGCAAGCCUGCAGAUUCCGUGUCACUCGCAGACUUGCAGCGUGCCACGAUUGCCACGCUCCACCAGACCUCCGCCGACUCGUCCAGCAGCUCGUCCACGUCCGCGCGGCAUUUUCCCUCCCAGCCUCCCCAGGAGCCUCCUGAGGGGGAGGCACUAAGCGGUGCCCCUCCCGCCCCUCCAGUCACACCCUCCUCUCCUGCUUUCCAACGGAUCCACCGCAUCCACCGGUUGAUGGACAGCAUCACCUUCCUUUCCUCCUUCCGCUUUCCUGGCUGCCGAAGUCAGUCCGGUCUGUAACGUAGAUGGAGAUCAUUUAUUUAAAAGUACCAAACAUAGCCUAGAGUACAUGGAAUAUGGCCAACACAUAUAUAGCCUUCUGUAUUUAAUGGGUUUCUGCUUUCUAACCAUCCCGGGUUUCUAUUUAUAAGUCUUGUCUAUUCAUGAUGUUUAAAAGAAAUCCCUCCUCGCUGUUAUUUACGAACGGCAGUGCAUUCAGUGGCCCGAUGCCUUGAGAGACGCCACAUCUCUGAGCCCUUCCAUGUGACUGUCAUGCUCUCCUUAUAGCUUGUGUCCAAGUGAACAUAUCCAUUAACCAGCUAGUUACCUUUCAACUGCGGUAUAGAAUGUGAAAAUGAAGAUUUAUUUCUUUUAAUUUACUUAAAAAGAAACCUCUGUGCUAGCAAUAAAGCAUUUAUAUUGUGUA